rnacentral:rRNA from 1 species
CAGUCAGAUUGCAGGCUGCAACUCGCCUGCAUGAAGUCGGAAUUGCUAGUAAUCGCAGAUCAGCAUGCUGCGGUGAAUACGUUCCCGGGCCUUGUACACACCGCCCGUCACACCAUGGGAGUCGGUAACACCCGAAGUCGGUAGCCUAACCGUAAGGAGGGCGCCGCCGAAGGUGGGAUUGGUGACUGGGGUGAAGUCGUAACAAGGUAGC